GUUAGAAUGGCUGAGCAUAAUAGGCAGUAGAUUGUAAAUCUAUGUACGAGGGGAUCCUCUUCUAUCA
rnacentral:tRNA from 1 species